GCUGGGUGUGGGUGGUCUUCUAUACUUGACAAGCAACAAUUUCAUUUUUCCUGCUUCCUGGGAUUCCUGUGGAGAGGACUGGGUGGAACAACCUUUACAGAGAUUAUUAGAAAGCUAGGAGCGGGGGGACCACCAGGUUGCCUAAGGAGGGAUGAACCGGCCCAGGUCGGAAAUGGAGCAGGUCAAAACUCCCAUGCUGAUCAGUAGUGGGAUCGCGCCUGUGAAUAGCCACUGCACUCCAGCCUGGGCCACAAAGUGAGACCUCGUUU
rnacentral:SRP_RNA from 1 species